rnacentral:rRNA from 2 species
AAAUUGAAGAGUUUGAUCAUGGCUCAGAUUGAACGCUGGCGGCAGGCCUAACACAUGCAAGUCGAACGGUAACAGGAAACAGCUUGCUGUUUCGCUGACGAGUGGCGGACGGGUGAGUAAUGUCUGGGAAACUGCCUGAUGGGGGGGGAUAACUACUGGAAACGGUAGCUAAUACCGCAUAACGUCGCAAGACCAAAGAGGGGGACCUUCGGGCCUCUUGCCAUCGGAUGUGCCCAGAUGGGAUUAGCUUGUUGGUGGGGUAACGGCUCACCAAGGCGACGAUCCCUAGCUGGUCUGAGAGGAUGACCAGCCACACUGGAACUGAGACACGGUCCAGACUCCUACGGGAGGCAGCAGUGGGGAAUAUUGCACAAUGGGCGCAAGCCUGAUGCAGCCAUGCCGCGUGUAUGAAGAAGGCCUUCGGGUUGUAAAGUACUUUCAGCGGGGAGGAAGGGAGUAAAGUUAAUACCUUUACUCAUUGACGUUACCCGCAGAAGAAGCACCGGCUAACUCCGUGCCAGCAGCCGCGGUAAUACGGAGGGUGCAAGCGUUAAUCGGAAUUACUGGGCGUAAAGCGCACGCAGGCGGUUUGUUAAGUCAGAUGUGAAAUCCCCGGGCUCAACCUGGGAACUGCAUCUGAUACUGGCAAGCUUGAGUCUCGUAGAGGGGGGUAGAAUUCCAGGUGUAGCGGUGAAAUGCGUAGAGAUCUGGAGGAAUACCGGUGGCGAAGGCGGCCCCCUGGACGAAGACUGACGCUCAGGUGCGAAAGCGUGGGGAGCAAACAGGAUUAGAUACCCUGGUAGUCCACGCCGUAAACGAUGUCGACUUGGAGGUUGUGCCCUUGAGGCGUGGCUUCCGGAGCUAACGCGUUAAGUCGACCGCCUGGGGAGUACGGCCGCAAGGUUAAAACUCAAAUGAAUUGACGGGGGCCCGCACAAGCGGUGGAGCAUGUGGUUUAAUUCGAUGCAACGCGAAGAACCUUACCUGGUCUUGACAUCCACGGAAGUUUUCAGAGAUGAGAAUGUGCCUUCGGGAACCGUGAGACAGGUGCUGCAUGGCUGUCGUCAGCUCGUGUUGUGAAAUGUUGGGUUAAGUCCCGCAACGAGCGCAACCCUUAUCCUUUGUUGCCAGCGGUCCGGCCGGGAACUCAAAGGAGACUGCCAGUGAUAAACUGGAGGAAGGUGGGGAUGACGUCAAGUCAUCAUGGCCCUUACGACCAGGGCUACACACGUGCUACAAUGGCGCAUACAAAGAGAAGCGACCUCGCGAGAGCAAGCGGACCUCAUAAAGUGCGUCGUAGUCCGGAUUGGAGUCUGCAACUCGACUCCAUGAAGUCGGAAUCGCUAGUAAUCGUGGAUCAGAAUGCCACGGUGAAUACGUUCCCGGGCCUUGUACACACCGCCCGUCACACCAUGGGAGUGGGUUGCAAAAGAAGUAGGUAGCUUAACCUUCGGGAGGGCGCUUACCACUUUGUGAUUCAUGACUGGGGUGAAGUCGUAACAAGGUAACCGUAGGGGAACCUGCGGUUGGAUCACCUCCUUACCUUAAAGAAGC